CCUGAGAGGUGUGUGUUCUAUAUGAGGAGGAAACCGGGAGAGGGCCACUUAAAUCAUUUCUACCAGUUUCAAUUGGUUUGCUUUGAAUGAUUAAUAAAUCUCCUGAUGGGCCUAAGCUUCUGGAGAAUGGCCCGGACGAUUCUCCAGCGGCGGCAGAAUGGGAAGCUGCGGAUCAACUGGCUUUGGGUAAUCUGCUAGGGCUCUGGCCGAACGCUUUUCAUCUGAUUUGUGCCUGUCAACUCGAUUGAGUGUUGUCGCAGCCCGAAGAAAUGAACUCGAGCUAUAUGUCAAGUGUGCAAGCCGUACUCUUUGAUACUCUGUCAAGGAAGUGGCUCGUUUCAUCCGAUUCCAUUCUUUGUUUGGAUUGGUCUGGUGCAGACACGAACAUUAACAUCCACAUAGCUACAGCAUUUUCCCACUUAAUUGCAACGAGAAGUGCAGAAAUAGCUGGCGAUGACGAGGGAAAUGGAAAUUCCGGGGAUUCAUUGGAGUGUUGGGCGUGCUGGGGAUCGAAAUCGGGAUCAGUUCGAUCCGUCUGUCCAACUGCAAUCCAUCUGCCUGACGAUCUCUAUUUUGGUUACCCAUCCUGGCAUUUCAAAGAUUGUUUUUCAAUUGAUCAAUUAGUAGAUGUCUUGAUUUUUUACACUCUUCGGGGAAAAUAUUUACUUAUUUAAUUUCUUUCUUUGCAAUACCAA